rnacentral:rRNA from 1 species
UACGGAGGAUCCAAGCGUUAUCCGGAUUUCUUGGGUUUAAAGGGUGCGUAGGCGGCCUAUUAAGUCAGGGGUGAAAGACGGUAGCUUAACUAUCGCAGUGCCUUUGAUACUGAUGGGCUUGAAUGUACUUGAGGUAGGCGGAAUGUGACAAGUAGCGGUGAAAUGCAUAGAUAUGUCACAGAACACCAAUUGCGAAGGCAGCUUACUAUGGUGCAAUUGACGCUGAGGCACGAAAGCGUGGGGAUCAAACAGG